rnacentral:rRNA from 1 species
GACGAAGGGGGCUAGCGUUGUUCGGAAUUACUGGGCGUAAAGCGCGUGUAGGCGGUUGUUCAAGUCAGGUGUGAAAGCCUUGAGCUCAACUCAAGAAAUGCACUUGAUACUGGAUGACUAGAGGACCGGAGAGGAUAGUGGAAUUCCCAGUGUAGUGGUGAAAUACGUAGAGAUUGGGAAGAACACCAGUGGCGAAGGCGGCUCUCUAGUACGGUACUGACGCUGAGACGCGAAAGCGUGGGGAGCGAACAGG